rnacentral:ncRNA from 1 species
UUAUCGUUUGGGUGUCGCUGCAAAUUCAGCGACCGGGCCUGGAAUCCCGAGGU